rnacentral:rRNA from 1 species
GCUUACGGCAUACCACCUCAAUGCGCCCGAUCUCAUCUUAUCUCGGAAGCUAAGCAGGGUCAUGCCUGGUUAGUACUUGGAUGGGUGACCGCCUGGGAAUACCAGGUGCUGUAAGCU